rnacentral:rRNA from 1 species
UACAGAGGGGGCAAGCGUUAUUCGGAAUUAUUGGGCGUAAAGGGCGCGUAGGCGGCUUGGCAAGUGGAUGGUGAAAUCCCUCGGCUUAACCGAGGAACUGCCGUCCAAACUGCUUUGCUUGAGACCGGGAGAGGUGAGUGGAAUUCCCAGUGUAGCGGUGAAAUGCGUAGAUAUUGGGAGGAACACCAGUGGCGAAGGCGGCUCACUGGACCGGUACUGACGCUGAGGAGCGAAAGCUAGGGGAGCAAACGGG